GGCCCUAAUUCCAAAUAACUACAACACACCCUCAUUAGUGACAUGACCCACAUGUGUACGUUAGUGACAUAAAUAUAUAAAAGACGAGAAUUGGUGUGAUAGACUCCCUUAAGUUUAAGUUCCUUUCAGGAAUACUAAAGGAGGUGACCUUGAAUUGGAACAUGAACCUUCACAGGUUCUCUGUGACCAGCUAUCAAGAUAUUUCUAGGAAGUUGAUCCACGAGUUGUCAGGGAGUGAUAACACGUAAUAAUCAAUUAGUGGCCUCUGCGCGAAGAAAUAACAAAAAAAUGACGAAAACGACGAAGUUUUGAGUGUUUCAGGCUGUCAUGACGGACUCUGCCCGACCAUGACGUCCACCAUGGGAUGACCAACUACAACCGUCAGCCAGAGCAAAGGAGGCAAGUUUCAAAAGCGUGACAGAUAGCCCGUCAGCUUGAUAAAUCUGACUGACGACCCAUCAACAUGAUGACGCCCGUCAUGACGUUGAAAUCCAUAUUUUUAGCCACUUUCAUCAAUUCAAUUUUCCCACUUCCCUCACUUUCUCCCACUCUCGUCGCACGAUUUCAACAAGUUUUAGCAUGUAUUUUAGCCUAUAAACAGGCUCUUAGAAUCAUACUUUGGUAAUGCAAGCUUUGUAAGAGCCAUGUAUUUCACUUGGAAAAGCAUACGCCCAACAUUAGAGUGUUUAUGCAACUUUAUACUACUCCCUCCGUUUUUAAUUGUAUGUCGUUUUAGAGAAAAAAUUGUGCCAAAAUAUAAGUCC